UGGGGAAUCUUGCACAAUGGGGGCAACCCUGAUGCAGCGACGCCGCGUGAGCGAUGAAGGUUUUCGAAUCGUAAAGCUCUGUCCUAUGGGAAGAUAAUGACGGUACCAUAGGAGGAAGCCCCGGCUAACUACGUGCCAGCAGCCGCGGUAAUACGUAGGGGGCGAGCGUUGUCCGGAAUUACUGGGCGUAAAGGGUUCGCAGGCGGCAUGGCAAGUCCGAUGUAAAAGGCGAAGGCUUAACCUUCGUAAGCAUCGGAAACUGUCAAGCUUGAGUGAAGGAGAGGCAAGUGGAAUUCCUAGUGUAGCGGUGGAAUGCGUAGAUAUUAGGAGGAAUACCGGUGGCGAAGGCGACUUGCUGGACUUCAACUGACGCUGAGGAACGAAAGCGUGGGUAGCAAACAGG
rnacentral:rRNA from 2 species